GGAGAUCUACUGUCCUGUAGGUUUUUAGUCCAACCCUAAUUUAGCACAUCUGAUUCAGCUAGUUAAGGUCUUGUUGAGCAGUUAAUUAGUAGAAUCGUUGGUCUAGGUCAUAGACCAACCAGCCCUGAUCUAGGUUAUAUCAGCUGUGUCGGUGAACCCCUCCCGCAUCUGAACUGGCUUUAUAGAGGGCACAGCAUGAUCAGAGGUAUGUUUCGAUGUGAGAGAGAGGAUGCCACCUCACCCGCUCUUAAGAUAACCUUCGGGCUGACUGAGAGCCCAAGGCUGGUUAGGAGACUAUGUAAUAGUGAUGAACAGAGAAUUAGGGUAGCAGAAUAUUAGGGUAGCAGAAUAUUAGGGUAGCACUGUGUUUCAUUAAUCAUAUGCUGUCUUCCCUGCUCCUGUGUUCUUACCUCGUUCCCUUUGUCUUUUACACCUCUCCCCACCUCUUUCUUCCUGUUUUAUAAUGCACACAAGAUAGAUGUGCAUUGAAGUACAAGAUAGAUGUGCAUUGAAGUACAAGAUAGAUGUGCAUUGAAGUACAAGAUAGAUGUGCAUUGAAGUACAAGAUAGAUGUGCAUUGAAGUACAAGAUAGAUGUGCAUUGAAGUACAGCUUGAACUUGUAUUUAUAAUGCAUGUAUUAUGUAUUUUUUUAACAUUUUGUAUAAUGAAUUUAAGGAGUUUCACUUUCUCUACUAUUGGGCAAUUUUAAGUCUCAUUUAAUGAAAUACUACACCUAAUUGUGUUUAUCAGAUCAAUGCAGACGAAGGGCAUUAGAUAUUGAGAUGAACUGGUUUUAGGCUAUUUACAUGAUGCAUAGGAAGUGUAGUGUACUGUUUAAAAAUAUAUAUAUUUCUGUAUACAUGAAAUACAAAUCAGCCUUUAACUAG